rnacentral:rRNA from 1 species
GUCAGGAUGAACGCUAGCUACAGGCUUAACACAUGCAAGUCGAGGGGCAGCAUGGAGCAGCAAUACUCAGAUGGCGACCGGCGCACGGGUGAGUAACACGUAUCCAACCUGCCGCUUACUCGGGGAUAGCCUUUCGAAAGAAAGAUUAAUACCCGAUGGUAUAAAGAGUUCGCAUGUUCUCUUUAUUAAAGAAUUUCGGUAAGCGAUGGGGAUGCGUUCCAUUAGAUAGUUGGCGGGGUAACGGCCCACCAAGUCUACGAUGGAUAGGGGUUCUGAGAGGAAGGUCCCCCACAUUGGAACUGAGACACGGUCCAAACUCCUACGGGAGGCAGCAGUGAGGAAUAUUGGUCAAUGGACGAGAGUCUGAACCAGCCAAAAGUAGCGUGAAGGAUGACUGCCCUAUGGGUUGUAAACUUCUUUUAUAAGGGAAUAAAGUGAGGGACGUGUCCCUUUUUGUAUGUACCUUAUGAAUAAGGAUCGGCUAACUCCGUGCCAGCCGCGGC